GGUUAAGCGACUAAGCGUACACGGUGGAUGCCCUGGCAGUCAGAGGCGAUGAAGGACGUGCUAAUCUGCGAAAAGCGACGGCGAGGUGAUAUGAACCUUUGACCCGUCGAUGUCCGAAUGGGGAAACCCAGUGUGUUCCGACACACUAUCGUUAACUGAAUACAUAGGUUAACGAGGCGAACCGGGGGAACUGAAACAUCUA
rnacentral:rRNA from 1 species